UGCGGCGUGCCUAAUACAUGCAAGUCGUACGCUAGCCGCUGAAUUGAUCCUUCGGGUGAAGUGAGGCAAUGACUAGAGUGGCGAACUGGUGAGUAACACGUAAGAAACCUGCCCUUUAGUGGGGGAUAACAUUUGGAAACAGAUGCUAAUACCGCGUAACAACAAAUCACACAUGUGAUCUGUUUGAAAGGUCCUUUUGGAUCGCUAGAGGAUGGUCUUGCGGCGUAUUAGCUUGUUGGUAGGGUAGAAGCCUACCAAGGCAAUGAUGCGUAGCCGAGUUGAGAGACUGGCCGGCCACAUUGGGACUGAGACACUGCCCAAACUCCUACGGGAGGCUGCAGUAGGGAAUUUUCCGCAAUGCACGAAAGUGUGACGGAGCGACGCCGCGUGUGUGAUGAAGGCUUUCGGGUCGUAAAGCACUGUUGUAAGGGAAGAAUAACUGAAUUCAGAGAAAGUUUUCAGCUUGACGGUACCUUACCAGAAAGGGAUGGCUAAAUACGUGCCAGCAGCCGCGGUAAUACGUAUGUCCCGAGCGUUAUCCGGAUUUAUUGGGCGUAAAGCGAGCGCAGACGGUUUAUUAAGUCUGAUGUGAAAUCCCGAGGCCCAACCUCGGAACUGCAUUGGAAACUG
rnacentral:rRNA from 1 species